UACGAAGGGGGCUAGCGUUGCUCGGAAUCACUGGGCGUAAAGCGCACGUAGGCGGAUUGUUAAGUCAGGGGUGAAAUCCUGGAGCUCAACUCCAGAACUGUCUUUGAUACUGGCGAUCUUGAGUCCGGGAGAGGUGAGUGGAACUGCGAGUGUAGAGGUGAAAUUCGUAGAUAUUCGCAAGAACACCAGUGGCGAAGGCGGCUCACUGGCCCGGUACUGACGCUGAAGUGCGAAAGCGUGGGGAGCAAACAGG
rnacentral:rRNA from 1 species